rnacentral:rRNA from 1 species
UAGCCGCAGAAUUCUGUGCUAAGGUAGCAUAAUCAUUUGUCUUCCAAUUAAAGACUAGAAUGAAAGGUCAAACGAAUAAAAAAUUCUAAUCCACACACUAACUCAAAUUAAAUUUAUUGUAAAAAUACAAUAAUAAUAAAAAAAGACGACAAGACCCUAUCGAACUUAACACUUGUUAUACUGGGGUAGUAUUUUAAUAAAAAUUUUAACAAACAUAACUCAAAAAUAUCCUUUAAAGAAAAGAAAAAGUUACCGUAGGGAUAACAGCGCAAUUUAUUUCUAAAGUUCUUAUUAAAAAAUAAGAUUACGACCUCGAUGUUGAAUUAAUAUAUCACGCAAAUGAAAAAUUUUGAUAGAAAGUCUGUUCGACUUUUAAAAAAUUACAUGAUUUG